rnacentral:rRNA from 1 species
GGUUAAGUGACUAAGCGUACACGGUGGAUGCCUUGGCAGUCAGAGGCGAUGAAAGACGUAGUAACUUGCGAUAAGCCCAGAUUAGGUAGUAACAACCAUUUGAGUCUGGGAUUUCUGAAUGGGGAAACCCACGUGCAUAAGCACGUAUCCUUACCUGAAUACAUAGGGUAAGGAGGCGAACCGGGGGAACUGAAACAUCUAAGUACCCCGAGGAAAAGAAAUCAACCGAGAUUCCGAAAGUAGCGGCGAGCGAAAUUGGACUAGCCCUUAAGCUUUACACGCGUUAGACGAACGGUCUGGAAAGUCCGACGAUACAGGGUGAUAGUCCCGUAGUUGACGACGUGUGUUCAGUGAAAUCGAGUAGGGCGGGACACGUGAUAUCCUGUCUGAAUAUGGGGGGACCAUCCUCCAAGGCUAAAUACUACUGACUGACCGAUAGUGAACCAGUACCGUGAGGGAAAGGCGAAAAGAACCCCUGUGAGGGGAGUGAAAUAGAACCUGAAACCGUGUACGUACAAGCAGUAGGAGCAGGCUUUGUCCUGUGACUGCGUACCUUUUGUAUAAUGGGUCAGCGACUUAUAUUCAGUGGCAAGGUUAACCAUCUAGGGGAGCCGUAGGGAAACCGAGUCUUAACUGGGCGUUCAGUCUCUGGAUAUAGACCCGAAACCAGGUGAUCUAGCCAUGGGCAGGUUGAAGGUUGAGUAACAUCAACUGGAGGACCGAACCGACUAAUGUUGAAAAAUUAGCGGAUGACUUGUGGCUAGGGGUGAAAGGCCAAUCAAACCUGGAGAUAGCUGGUUCUCCCCGAAAGCUAUUUAGGUAGCGCCUCGGACGAAUACUACUGGGGGUAGAGCACUGUUAAGGCUAGGGGGUCAUCCCGACUUACCAACCCUUUGCAAACUCCGAAUACCAGUAAGUACUAUCCGGGAGACACACGGCGGGUGCUAACGUCCGUCGUGGAGAGGGAAACAACCCAGACCGCCAGCUAAGGUCCCAAAUUACUACUAAGUGGGAAACGAUGUGGGAAGGCUCAGACAGCCAGGAUGUUGGCUUAGAAGCAGCCAUCAUUUAAAGAAAGCGUAAUAGCUCACUGGUCGAGUCGGCCUGCGCGGAAGAUGUAACGGGGCUAAGUAGUAAACCGAAGCUGCGGCAAUACUCUUUGAGUAUUGGGUAGGGGAGCGUUCUGUAAGCGGUUGAAGGUGUGUGGUAACGCAUGCUGGACGUAUCAGAAGUGCGAAUGCUGACAUGAGUAACGAUAAAGGGGGUGAAAAACCUCCUCGCCGGAAGACCAAGGGUUCCUGUCCAACGUUAAUCGGGGCAGGGUAAGUCGACCCCUAAGGCGAGGCCGAAAGGCGUAGUCGAUGGGAAACGGGUUAAUAUUCCCGUACUUCUUACAAUUGCGAUGGGGGGACGGAGAAGGCUAGGUGGGCCUGGCGACGGUUGUCCAGGUUCAAGUGCGUAGGCUUAAGAGUUAGGUAAAUCCGGCUCUUUUUAAGGCUGAGACACGACGUCGAGCCACUACGGUGGUGAAGUCAUUGAUGCCAUGCUUCCAGGAAAAGCCUCUAAGCUUCAGAUUGUAAGGAAUCGUACCCCAAACCGACACAGGUGGUCGGGUAGAGAAUACCAAGGCGCUUGAGAGAACUCGGGUGAAGGAACUAGGCAAAAUGGUACCGUAACUUCGGGAGAAGGUACGCUCUCGACGGUGAAGUCCCUUGCGGAUGGAGCUAUUGAGAGUCGCAGAUACCAGGUGGCUGCAACUGUUUAUUAAAAACACAGCACUGUGCAAAAUCGUAAGAUGACGUAUACGGUGUGACGCCUGCCCGGUGCCGGAAGGUUAAUUGAUGGGGUUAGACUUCGGUCGAAGCUCUUGAUCGAAGCCCCGGUAAACGGCGGCCGUAACUAUAACGGUCCUAAGGUAGCGAAAUUCCUUGUCGGGUAAGUUCCGACCUGCACGAAUGGCGUAAUGAUGGCCACGCUGUCUCCACCCGAGACUCAGUGAAAUUGAAAUCGCUGUGAAGAUGCAGUGUACCCGCGGCUAGACGGAAAGACCCCGUGAACCUUUACUACAGCUUGGCACUGAACAUUGACCCUACAUGUGUAGGAUAGGUGGGAGGCUUUGAAGCACGUACGCCAGUAUGUGUGGAGCCGUCCUUGAAAUACCACCCUUGUAGUGUUGAUGUUCUAACGUCGACCCCUAAUCGGGGUUGCGGACAGUGCCUGGUGGGUAGUUUGACUGGGGCGGUCUCCUCCCAAAGAGUAACGGAGGAGCACGAAGGUGGGCUAAUCACGGUUGGACAUCGUGAGGUUAGUGCAAUGGCAUAAGCCCGCUUGACUGCGAGAAUGACAAUUCGAGCAGGUGCGAAAGCAGGUCAUAGUGAUCCGGUGGUUCUGAAUGGAAGGGCCAUCGCUCAACGGAUAAAAGGUACUCCGGGGAUAACAGGCUGAUACCGCCCAAGAGUUCAUAUCGACGGCGGUGUUUGGCACCUCGAUGUCGGCUCAUCACAUCCUGGGGCUGAAGUCGGUCCCAAGGGUAUGGCUGUUCGCCAUUUAAAGUGGUACGCGAGCUGGGUUUAGAACGUCGUGAGACAGUUCGGUCCCUAUCUGCCGUGGGCGUUGGAAGAUUGAAGGGGGCUGCUCCUAGUACGAGAGGACCGGAGUGGACGAACCUCUGGUGUUCGGGUUGUGUCGCCAGACGCAUUGCCCGGUAGCUAAGUUCGGAAUCGAUAACCGCUGAAAGCAUCUAAGCGGGAAGCGAGCCCUGAGAUGAGUCUUCCCUGAUACUUUAAGUAUCCUAAAGGGUUGUCGGAGACUACGACGUUGAUAGGUCAGGUGUGUAAGUGCUGUGAGGCAUUGAGCUAACUGAUACUAAUUGCCCGUGAGGCUUAACCAU